UUCAGACACCGGCCACGUUUUCUUCAGUGCCUGCAGUUUAUUUUCUGUUGGAGUAAGCCACCUGUUUACAACCAUGAGAGUGGCGGCGAGGAAGAAGGGCGAUUUGUUCAGGUAUUCCUUAGGCAAUCUCCAUAUAAUGGAUUGUGAGGAGAUCCUAUGACUACUGGAUGCAUCUGACGAGGAGGGUGGUCUGUUGGAUAAAGAUGAUUGACCUACUGUUUCUGUUCAGCCAAGUGAACCUUUUCCUAAUGCAACAGUAUACACUGAGACAGAAAAAGAAGUUGAAUCACAAAUAGAUGAGGUUGAGUCUUCAUCAAAUCCUAUAAAUACAAGUAGACCACAGCUUCUUGAUGAGGGGGCCAGUGAUGGGAUUUUGGCAGUAAAGGCAUUAACAAGUCAAAUCUCAAGCCAAAGAACAGUACCAAACAGAUGUCACUUAUUUCACAGAAAUUCACACUUCAGAAAAAGAUUUCUUAUGGAUACUAAUGAUGUUAAUGGGCAACAGGUUGCACAACCCACCAUUGUUUCUCUUGCAGAAUAUUUUUCAGGUUACAUUUAUGAGGAAAUAUGGAAUGCACUUACAGUGAAAACACAGAAAAAAAUACAUGUUAGAGACAGGGAAGCCUAUAAGUUUAACUGCAGAAGAGAUGAAAGCAUCUGUAGGCAUAACAGUUUUGAUGUCUGUUCUUAAAUUUCCUAGACAGAAUAUGUAUUGGCAGGAGAGAGCUAGGAUAAAACUGAUUGCUGAUUGUAUAUCAAGGGAAAAUAUCAGGUAAUUAGAAGCAAUUUAAAGGUAAUUGAGGAUAAUCUUCCUACUCAAGCUAAAAAAAAAAACAGGAUAAGAUGUGAAAGAUAAGACCUUUGUUGGACUCUGUGAGAGGCAGAUGUUUAGAGUUAGAGAAGCUUGACUCGGUUAAUGUUGAUGAUCCCAUUUACAAGACAUAGUGAACUAAAAACAUUUGUGCACAGAAAACCCACUUGAAAUGGAUUGAAGAUGUCUGCAAUUAUGUUUUGGAUUCUCAUAGGGUAUAGCCUGAAUUUAAAUGUACUGUGCUACGUCGUAAAAUUUAUCUUAUCAUAGGUACUUUAAAAAUUAAAAUGUACUAUGCUACCUCUGAAAAUCUGAUAAGUAACUGAAGUGCUGUGUAUACUGAGAAGUAUUGUUCCUAUCAAAUGUCUAAGAAAGACUAACUUUUUAUUAUUUAUUUUCAUACAAGCCAUAAAAUGGUUGCUUCCUUUUGUUUUACUAGUGACGUAGUCACUGAGUUUAUAAUGGAUACAACAGUGCCUUUUCCAAUGGAAAAUAUUUCUUUACUGUGAUAAAGUGGAAAGUUGUUAUAUUAUGGUAUAAUAUUUUUGUAUGGCCAAUUAUAUUUUUCUCUGGAUAAAUAUAUUUCAACAAAAUGUUGAAACUGUCUUCUCAUGAUAAAUAAUGUAUCAUUAUUUUCUCACUACUGUGUGCAGAAAUUAAUUUGUUACAAUAAACCAUAAACAGG